UGGGGAAUAUUGCACAAUGGACGAAAGCCUGAUGCAGCAACGCCGCGUGAGUGAUGAAGGUCUUCGGAUUGUAAAGCUCUGUCUUUUGGGACGAUAAUGACGGUACCAAAGGAGGAAGCCACGGCUAACUACGUGCCAGCAGCCGCGGUAAUACGUAGGUGGCGAGCGUUGUCCGGAUUUACUGGGCGUAAAGGGUGCGUAGGCGGAUGUUUAAGUGAGAUGUGAAAUACCCGGGCUUAACUUGGGUGCUGCAUUUCAAACUGGAUAUCUAGAGUGCAGGAGAGGAGAAUGGAAUUCCUAGUGUAGCGGUGAAAUGCGUAGAGAUUAGGAAGAACACCAGUGGCGAAGGCGAUUCUCUGGACUGUAACUGACGCUGAGGCACGAAAGCGUGGGUAGCAAACAGGAUUAGAUACCC
rnacentral:rRNA from 1 species